rnacentral:lncRNA from 1 species
AUUUAAAAACCUUUCAUAUAUGCAUAUAAAAGGUAAUCAAACACAAGCCAAAUGAAAAUUUGUUUAGCUAUGUUAAUAUCAGACAAAAGAGAUUUUAAGGCAGAAAUUAUUACUUGAAAGGAAGAUGUAUCCAUCAUCCAUAUAAAAGAAUCAACUAUUGAGGAAGUUGUCAAACUUGUGUAUGUAUAUUCACUCACACACAGUUAACACACAUUUACAAUUUUUAUAGAACUAAAAGGAGCAAUAGCCGCGUCUUCAAUCAUAAAGACUUUAAUAUACCUUUUUCAAUAACUGAUAGCAAAAAGGAUACAAAAUAUCAAUAAUAAUAGAAAAAUUUAAAGCAGUAGGAUUAAAUACUUUGAUAUAAAAACUGCACCCAAAAAUAGCAAAACACACAAUUUAUUAUAAUGUAUUUGGAACGUGUUUCAAAAUUUACCAUAGCUAUCUAUAGAUAUCUCUGUCUAUCUAGGUAGAUAGAUAAUAGAUAGGUAGGUAGAUAGAUAGAUAGAUAGAUAGAUAGAUAGGUUAGAUAGACAGAUAUAGGCUGAGGUUAGGCCCAAAACAAGAAUCAAUAAAUACCAAAAAUUUGAAAUCCUUGACAGUGUUUUUUGUACAACAAUGUUAUUAAGCUGCAAAUCUAUAGCAAGACUUUGAAAGUGACCAAAUGUUUAGAAAUUAAGCAUCACAUUUCUAAGUUAUUCAUGGAUCGAAAAAGUAAUUACAGUGAAUAUUAAAAUAUAUUUUGAAUUUAAUAAAAACGAAAGUAAAAAUACUGCUUGUUAAAAGAUGGGAGGCUUAGGCAAACCUCAGCUUGGAGAUAAAUGCAUAUGCUUACAUAAAUAUGUUUAAAAAAUUAAAGCUUGAAAAUUAAUAAUCUAAUUGUCAAUUUCAAAAAUUUAAAAUGUGAUGUCAAAUUAAAUCCAAAGAAUUAGAAAAGAGAAGAUACAUAAGAAGCAUGAGAAAAGGAAACAAUCAUAAAAUAAAUGAAAUCAGCAAAAGCCAAAGUUACUUUGAAAAGACUGAUAAAAAUAUACCAUGAUUAUGCAUGAAAUUUAAAAAAAAGAGUAUCCACAAAUUCUAAAUAUCAUGAAUAAUAACAAGGAAAUCAUUAUAGAUUCUAUAGUCAUGGGAGAGAAAAAGAGAAUGUAAUAAGUAACUUUAAGUCAAAAAUUUUGAAAUAAUUUGAUGAAAUAGAUACAUUUCU